GAAAAAAACAGUUCACUGCGUUUUUUACCGCGUUUCUUUGAUGCCAGUUUUGCCUUCUACUGACACAUCAAUGGCGAACAGCUCAACAGAAACACAACCAAACAACAAGAAGAAUAGCCUGUGUGCUUUCUUCAGAAUGAAAUGUUUGGCUUUACAAAAAGCCAAUCGGCGUCGACGUCGAGGCAAUAAAGUGUCUUUUUCACAGCCUCCGUCUGACACAGAACCCGUGGGUCCACAGCCAGGCCCAUCAACAGAUAAUCUUCAGUCUGCUCUGUCCAGCUUUGAGUCUCAGGCUGUAGACGAUCAGCGGGAUCUUCUGCUUGGUCUGUCCAGCAUCGAGCCUCUGGCUGUAGACGACAAGACUGAUCUUCAACCUGGUCCAUCCAGCAACAAGCCAUCAAACUUUUCUGAAGGAAACAAAGCCAAUCCAGAGCCUGCUGAAGAAACUCAACCAAAAAGCAAGAAGAGCAGGCUUUGUGCAUUCUUCAAGAACAUAUGGCUGACUGUACAAAAAGCCAAUCAGAGUCAACGUCGAGGCAGUAAAGUGUUUCCUUUUCAGCCUCCGUCUGACACAGAACCAGUGGGUCCACAGCCAGGCCCAUCUAAUUUCAAGACAACAUCUGUACAAGAUUUGUCUGGUCUUCAGCCUGCUCUGUCCAGCUUCGAGUCACUGCCUGUAGAUGAUCAGCAUGAUCUUCAGCUUGGU
rnacentral:lncRNA from 1 species